ACCCAAAAAGCUCAGUUGGCAGAGCGUUAGACUUUGGAGCUAGGGUCCGUGGUUCGAUCCUGGAUUUCGACA
rnacentral:tRNA from 1 species